CUUCACCGAACCGAGCAGCAACGGCCGCUCCUCGGGCCGGUCCUGGCCGUACGUCGCCAGCAGGGCCUGGGCCUC
rnacentral:antisense_RNA from 1 species